rnacentral:rRNA from 1 species
UACGUAGGGGGCGAGCGUUGUCCGGAAUCAUUGGGCGUAAAGCGCGUGUAGGCGGCUUGGUAAGUCCGGUGUGAAACCUUGGGGCUCAACCCCGAGCCUGCAGUGGAUACGGGCAGACUAGAGGUAGGUAGGGGAGAAUGGAAUUCCCGGUGUAGCGGUGAAAUGCGCAGAUAUCGGGAGGAACACCAGUGGCGAAGGCGGGUCUCUGGACAGUUCCUGACGCUGAGGCACGAAGGUCAGGGGAGCAAACGGGG